CAAAAGGCAAAAUUGUGAGAUUUUUCGUGGAGAACGCAUUGGGGAGCUUGGAAACUGAUUUGGAGCAUUCGAUUCAGAGGCUAUCUUGCGUGGAAAUUUAAGGAGAACAUCGUGGAAGUUUCAGAAUCUGUUUUUGGCACGUCGUUCGAGUUUGGCAGCGUUCCGAGGUCGUUCGAAAGGGAAAAGCUCCAGCACAGUGAUUUGAAGCUCGCGUGUUUAGCCUACAGGACCAAGCACCAGCUACUGUCACGAAUAGAUCGAGCUUGUUGCAGUCAGAUUCGGAGACUAGGGUGAUAACUUGGCGUUUUUGGAUCACUUCUGUCUCCUUCAGAAUGGAUGGCCCGUCUUUUGCCUUUUGAGACUAGCCAGUUGUUGUAUAUAUGUCCGGUCCA